rnacentral:lncRNA from 1 species
GGUUAUAGCGAUACAGCGAUCGAUCACGAGAAAGAAGCGGAAAAGAAAAAAAAACUUCUCUCCCGUGCGCUAGCCCGUCGCCGCCUCCCGGAGCCGCUCGCCGCCUCCUCGCACGCGCCCGCCGGACCGCCAGGCGCCGCCGCCAACUCCGAGCGCGCACCCGCCGCAGCCGCGCCCCCUACCCCGCCACCUCCUCGCGCGUGCCCGACGCUCGCCCUACCCCGCCGUUGCUGCCUCCUCGCGGCCGCCAGUGAGCCAGGUUCGCCGUCGGCUGGCGCCUUCUCCACCACCGCCGCCGCCUCCUCGCGCGUGGCCUCUGGAGUUCUGGGCUCGCCGUCGGCCGGCUCCUCCUCGCGUGCGCCCGCCGGGGAGCUGUGGUGGGUUACGGCACUACGCAGUACAGACUCCAGGUUAAGGCACAGGGAGGCAACAAUCCAAUACAGGAGAGAUGGGAUGGGAUCCCAGCUCAAGGGAGCCCUGGCGGCAGCUACGGUCGGGAGGACCUAAGCCCUACAGGCAAGCUCUAUAAUCAACCCCCUUUUGCUUACCGGCGAUAAGUCAACCAACUUCCAGUGAUGCAGUCAAUAGUUUCUGAUCAGCUUGGAGUGGUCCAUGCCAUGUUGCUGUGAUAAUGCUACAGAUAGUUACUUCUAAUGUUUCAUGGAAAAGUUCGAGCUACAAAAAUUUCUUAAGCAAGCUUACGGAUUGUUUCUGAUGAGUUUAGCAACUCUAUGGAAACAAGCAUAAGUGCUUCUCAUCUGAUCAGUUCCAAGAGAGUAGCCAAGUAGGUAGAACAAUCCCAAAACUGCAAACUUAUUUUACUGUAUAUAUAUACUUUCCUUUUUAGCAUUUUCUGUAAAGUCCCAGUUCUGUAUUGCAGUUGGCAUGGUUGUGUUCAUCGGAAUAUUGAAUGUCAAAUUGAAAGGAGGCGCCAACCUAUAGCUAUCAACAACAAGGACACCAUGGUUCAGAUUCAUAAAUUUGGGGAUCAUGGAUGUCUAGGUUCAGAAAUUUUUGGAUUUUAGGCAACAAAUUUUGUAGAAUUUCCAAUUUAGAAAAACACAUUUUGCAUUUCGUUAUAAUGUAAUAAAAUACCAAUUUACGUUUAUUUGAUGAAUUAUCAAAGCAACGCUUACAAUACUUUUAUUUU